AAGACACAAUACCUACUCAUACUUGCACUAGUAGGUCUACACUAGUAGCAUAAUUAUUUAAGAGACAUGUUUCAGCUGAUGAGCAUCUAAUUGUGUUCAGCAACACAAAUAUUUAUGACCUGUUGAUCUACAGAAUGUCAGAGAAGCAAGGAAAAGACUCUCCGCUUGAGAUGAGUCUUUCAGAGAAACACAGUGUAAGAUCAGGUUCACAUGUGUCCAGCUCUGUGUCUGUGAAGAGUGACUGGUCAAAAGGUAGCAUACUCAACUUCAAUGAGAAGAAAACAUCCUCUGACAAAAGGUAUUUCUCAUGUUGUAUAACACUGCAUUUUUUUCUUCACAGUGGAAUGCACUAGAACCUGAUUAAAGAUACUGAGAAAUGAACACAUUGUUUGGUAAACUUUACUAAACUCUGUCUUAAUCUUUUUACUGAGAGAAAAACAAACAUAAGGCAAACAUUCACAAUCAAAAAUAAAUCAUGCAUUGAAACUUGAAAUUCUCUUUUAAUAAUUCGUUCAGUAUCUCUCUAUGGAAACCACCUCGAGCUUGACCAAUCGCAACAGUUACAUCACAUCUGUUGGCUGACAGACCAAUCACAGCAGUAAUAAAAAGCACCUGCCUUAGA